rnacentral:miRNA from 10 species
GCUAAAUUUGAAUCUCAGAUAAACUGUAAAUAAUUUUUUAGUGUAUUUCAUGCAAUAUUUGGGACAUACUUAUACUAAAAAGUUAAUCUUAUUGUAUAUCUGAAAUUCACAUUUAACU